rnacentral:tRNA from 1 species
GGGGAUUUAGCUCAGUGGUAGAGCGCUUGCCUAGCACGCACAAGGCCCUGGGUUCAGUCCCCA